AUACGGAGGGCGCAAGCGUUGUUCGGAAUCAUUGGGCGUAAAGCGCGUGUAGGCGGCUUGGCAAGUCGGGUGUGAAAGCCCGGGGCUCAACCCCGGAAAUGCAUUCGAAACUGCCUGGCUAGAGUUCCGGAGAGGAAGGCAGAAUUCCCGGUGUAGAGGUGAAAUUCGUAGAUAUCGGGAGGAAUACCAGUGGCGAAGGCGACCUUCUGGACGGCAACUGACGCUGAGACGCGAAAGCGUGGGGAGCAAACAGGAUUAGAAACCCCAGUAGUCC
rnacentral:rRNA from 1 species